ACGUACCCGGAGCUGGAGGCUUGAGCCUGUGGCGUCUAGGCUCGACUCACUGCGGUUGGUGGAGGUGACGGAGGUUGCAGCUUGGCCAGCAUGGUAGAAAGGUGGCAGGGUAGGUGAGCUAUCCAGCGAUGCACUACCCUGGAUAGGAGCACUAUCAAGGUCACAUUGCUGGCACAUCUGGCUUUUACCACCCAGAUGCUUCGAGCCAGGAGCUGGAGGAGUCAUCUGUUGCACCCUGGAGGCUGGAGCCUGCAGAUGGCAUGGUUCUGUGGCUCCCCUCGCUGCAGUUGGUGGCAGAGACAGAGACUGCAGCUUGACCGGAGUGGUGGAGUGGUGUGUAUCUCAAGAUCACUCCACAACAAAGAUUCUGCCUGCAAUCCUCCACUUCAAGGCACAGCUGCAUAAAGAAACCAGAUGACCCAACAGCACCAGAGCUUCUCCACCCCUGACCAGAUAUCAGAAGGAGAUAAGAUCUCCAACCAGCACAAACUUGAACAGAAUUUUCUUGGCUAAUACUACAAUGCUGAAUAGAGUGGUUAAAGUGGGAAUUCUUCUCUCAAACUUUCAG